rnacentral:rRNA from 1 species
UGGGGAAUCUUGCGCAAUGGCCUAACGGCUGACGCAGCGACGCCGCGUGUGGGAUGACGCCCUUCGGGGUGUAAACCACUGUUGCCCGGGACGAAGAGCGGACUUCAGUCCGCCUGACGGUACCGGGUGAGGAAGCACCGGCUAACUCCGUGCCAGCAGCCGCGGUAAUACGGAGGGUGCGAGCGUUGUCCGGAAUCACUGGGCGUAAAGGGCGCGUAGGCGGCUUUUUAAGGGUGCGGUGAAAGCCCGGGGCUUAACCCCGGGUCGGCCGUGCCGACUGAAAAGCUGGAGCACUGUAGAGGCAGGUGGAAUUCCGGGUGUAGCGGUGGAAUGCGUAGAGAUCCGGAAGAACACCAGUGGCGAAGGCGGCCUGCUGGGCAGUUGCUGACGCUGAGGCGCGACAGCGUGGGGAGCAAACAG